AACAGUUUUAAUAACUUAUUAUAGUUAACUAUGAAUUAUACUUAUGAAGUAAAUAAUUUAUAAAUGUUACACAUAUUUAAAUAAUAACUGAUAUGAUGAUCAAAAAUUGUGAUCAAAUUAUGAUCACAUGUUGAUUGGAUAGGAUAAUUGAUUUUCUUAUUUGUUUACAGACGAGCUACAAUUUGUAAGAAAAAAGAGAUAAGUAUUUAACUCUAACAAUGAAUAGGAGCUCAUUUCGCCUUGAAACUCGAAGCCGAGCAAAAGAUGAAAUUAAACGUGUGAUGAUGACAAUAGAAAAAGUUAGAAAGUGG